UCCUUCGGGAAUUGUAUUCAGAAGGUGGGUUUGGUUAGGAAAAGUUACUUUAAGUCCAUUGGAAAAUGGCGCCAUGGAGGGUGAUAGCCCCGUAAAAGUAUCCCUUUUCCUUUUAUCCAUUCCCUCCAAAGAGUCGAGUUGUUUGGGAAUGCAGCUCUAAGUGGGUGGUAAAUUCCAUCUAAAGCUAAAUAUUGGCGAGAGACCGAUAGCGAACAAGUACAGUGAUGGAAAGAUGAAAAGCACUUUGAAAAGAGAGUGAAAAAGUACGUGAAAUUGUUGAAAGGUUUUUUGUUUUUCUUUUUUUACACAACCUCGGUUGGGCCAGCAUCGGAGUGGGGGGAGACAAAAAAGAAAAGGAAUGUAACUC
rnacentral:rRNA from 1 species